UACGUAGGGCGCAAGCGUUGUCCGGAAUUAUUGGGCGUAAAGAGCUCGUGGGCGGUUUGUCGCGUCUGUCGUGAAAGCCCACGGCUUAACCGUGGGUCUGCGGUGGAUACGGGCAGACUAGAGGCAGGUAGGGGAGAAUGGAAUUCCCGGUGUAGCGGUGAAAUGCGCAGAUAUCAGGAAGAACACCGGUGGCGAAGGCGGCCUGCUGGGCUAUGGCUGACACUGAGGCGCGACAGCGUGGGGAGCAAACAGG
rnacentral:rRNA from 1 species